rnacentral:rRNA from 1 species
AUGCACGCUGGCGGCGUGCCUAAUACGUGCAAGUCGAGCGAACAGACGAGGAGCUUGCUCCUUUGACGUUAGCGGCGGACGGGUGAGUAACACGUAGGUAACCUACCUAUAAGACUGGGAUAACUUCGGGAAACCGGAGCUAAUACCGGAUAAUAUUUCGAACCGCAUGGUUCGAUAGUGAAAGAUGGCUUUGCUAUCACUUAUAGAUGGACCUGCGCCGUAUUAGCUAGUUGGUAAGGUAACGGCUUACCAAGGCAACGAUACGUAGCCGACCUGAGAGGGUGAUCGGCCACACUGGAACUGAGACACGGUCCAGACUCCUACGGGAGGCAGCAGUAGGGAAUCUUCCGCAAUGGGCGAAAGCCUGACGGAGCAACGCCGCGUGAGUGAUGAAGGUCUUCGGAUCGUAAAACUCUGUUAUUAGGGAAGAACAAACGUGUAAGUAACUGUGCACGUCUUGACGGUACCUAAUCAGAAAGCCACGGCUAACUACGUG